UACGGGGGGGGCAAGCGUUGUUCGGAAUUACUGGGCGUAAAGGGUCUGUAGGUGGCCGACUAAGCCAGACGUGAAAUCCCUCAGCUUAACUGGGGAACUGCGUCUGGGACUGGUCGGCUUGAGGAUAGGAGAGGAACGCGGAAUUCCUGGUGUAGCGGUGAAAUGCGCAGAUAUCAGGAAGAACACCCGUGGCGAAGGCGGCUCUCUGGGACGGUACUGACGCUGAGACGCGAAAGCGUGGGGAGCGAACAGG
rnacentral:rRNA from 1 species